UUUUGUUGUUUACAAUAAAAU
rnacentral:piRNA from 1 species